UACGUAGGCAGCAAGCGUUGUUCGGAGUUACUGGGCGUAAAGGGUGUGUAGGCGGUUCUUUUAAGUUUGGUGUGAAAUCUCCCGGCUCAACCGGGAGGGUGCGCCGAAUACUGAGGGACUAGAGUGCGGGAGAGGAAAGUGGAAUUCCUGGUGUAGCGGUGAAAUGCGUAGAUAUCGAGAGGAACACCUGCGGCGAAGGCAGCUCGCUGGGACGGUACUGACGCUGAGGCGCGAAAGCGUGGGGAGCAAACAGG
rnacentral:rRNA from 1 species